AUGGAGGUCUCUUCUCGGAGUUCAGAGCCUCUGGAUCUGGUGUGGCUCCUUGUAGCCUUCGGCCAGGGAGGAGUCAAGCUGGCGGUCUUGCUGCUGUUCUUGCUGCCAUUUACUUUGGGUCAGUGCCCAGCCCCAUCACAGCUUCCUUCUGCCAAACCUAUAAAUCUAACUGAUGAAUCCAUGUUUCCCAUUGGAACAUCUUUGAAAUAUGAAUGUCUCCCAGGAUAUAUCAAGAGGCAGUUCUCUAUCACCUGCAAACAAGACUCAACCUGGACGAGUGCUGAAGAUAAGUGUAUACGAAAACAAUGUAAAACUCCUUUAGAUCCUCAGAAUGGCUUGGUACAUGUACACACAGGCAUUCAGUUUGGAUCCUGUAUUAAUUAUACUUGUAAUAAAGGAUACCGCCUCAUUGGUUCCUCCUCUGCUGUAUGUGUCAUCACUGAUCAAAGUGUUGAUUGGGAUACUGAGGCACCUAUUUGUGAG
rnacentral:lncRNA from 1 species